AUUGAACGCUGGCGGCAGGCCUAACACAUGCAAGUCGAACGAGUGGCGGAUGGGUGAGUAAUGUCUGGGAAACUGCCCGAUGGAGGGGGAUAACUACUGGAAACGGUAGCUAAUACCGCAUACCAUCGGAUGUUCCCAGAUGGGAUUAGCUUGUAGGUUAGGUAACGGCUCACCUAGGCGACGAUCCCUAGCUGGUCUGCGAGGUUGACCAGCCAAACUGGAACUGGGACACGGACCAGACUCCUACGGGGGGCAGCAGAGGUGAAAAUGGCACAAUGGGGGCAAGCCGGAUGCAGCCAUGCCGCGUGUAUAAAGAAGGACUUCGGGUUGUAAAGUACUUUAAGCGGGGAGGCGUUACCCGCAGAAGAAGCACCGGCUAACUACGUGCCAGCAGCGGCGGUAAUC
rnacentral:rRNA from 1 species